GACAGGACCGGGGCACGCUUGUUGCUGCUCCUCCUCUUCUGAUUUCUCAGGCAGGGUCCGGGCAGGCAGCGAGGGAGCUUUGCUGGUUCCGCCAGGGACAGGCGGCGGCUCUGGCUCGCUUUCUCAGGGUGUGCGUGCCGGGGGCAGCUACCGUGCUCCCUCCCCCAGAUCCCGUCCCUGCUGCCAGGAGCCCUGCGCAGCGGCAGCCGCCGGCUCGCCUCACCUCUCCGGAGAAGAAAGUUUCCCGGGUGGCGCGGAGGUGGGAAGAUGCGCUCACAGGAUGAAAGGCAAGCCUGGACCUGGUUUACAUGUGGGCUGCACACCCCCAGUGUGAGUGCUCCGAACCUCUGCGAAUCAGCCCAGAACUAGAGCUGGUUCAAGCUGCACGUGAAUUGUAAUGGAAUGAGAAACAUUUGCGUGUUAAGGAAAAAGCUCCCCUGUAAGGAUGGGUUGAUCUGAGUGCUUCUGUUGAAAGUGACUGUUGUUCUAGUGAAACUACAGGAUUGACACCCUUGGAGAGUAAAGACUGAUCUUCAGCCAUAGAAAAGGGUGUCGGGAGUAAGGCCCUGCAGCUGCACGUACUCAGUACUCCUGACAGCAUAAUGAGUCAGUUUGGCUGCCUGGUGGAUAGCCCUCCCUGACAGCCCUGCUUGAUUGGCUGAAAAAGCCAGCAGGCUGGUUCUUAAGCUCAGCAGCAAUAGCUUGCUGGCUGCUCAGUGCACACACCUGCAAAUUCUCUGCCUCCUUGUGCUGGCCUUGCUCUAAGCCGUGCACCCAGCUCUGUUCCAGCCUUCCCUGACUCAGGUAAUCCGCUUCUGACCUUCAGCUCUGAUCCCUGGCUCUGACUCUGCUUUGACCUUGGGUUCUGGCAUUCAGACUAUGACCACUAGGUAUGACUGCUGCUCUGACCACUAGGCCUGACUGUUGAUGAUCUGAUCCCCUUAUCAGGGGACCAGAACAAGAAUACAAGCUUUGCUCAGGCUGCUCUGAGACCUGUGUUUUAUAAAGAGCAUUUCUGGGAAUGAAGAAGGCAUUGCAAUCUCUAUGACCUACUCAGAAUUCCAAGGAUACCAAUAGGUAUUGGCUGAAAUAGUGGUUUGGUUUCCUUCAUUUUAAUGUAUAACAUACUGAAUUUAUUUGAACACAUAACCUCAACGCUAAAUUGGUUGUUUCAGAAUGAUGUACUGUAAAUCUUGGACCUGCACAUCAUUCAUGCUUUUAUUUUUGGGUCGGAGGGGGAUUUUGUAUUAAAGAGAACAAAGAUUACAUUCUCAGUGUUGCAGUAAAAGCUUUCUUUCAAAAAGAAAAUGGACCACACGGGCCUAAUUUUCCAGAGUGGGGCAAAGGGAACAUAAGGGGCCUGAUUUACACUUAUACAGAGUUUGUCGUGGAAUUGCCCUUUUUGAAAGGUUCUUUCUUCCCACGUGGAGUACGGCGUUCCUCCUUUACCCCCAUACUAGAAAAUUUUAUGUUACAAUAGAGUAUGUCACGCUGUCUAGAGUGUCUCAACCACAAUCAGGGAAGAUUGUCAAAAAUAGGGUAGACACCUCAAACUGGUGAUGUGGUCGAGAAUUAGAUUUCACCAUGCCAUUGAUGUGAACUCCUGCAUCAUUAUAACAGUCUUAGCAUGGAGUCAUAGACAAUCCCCUUAGACUCACUAGCCUACGUGGCCACCCAGACAAACUGGACUUAGUGAUAAACGGUUAUUUACACACAGAUCACAUCACAUUCAGGUUGCUUCCAGUCCCAAGAGACCAGUCACUUACCCCAGAUCAAUUGGUACCCUAGGUCUUACACCAAAGACAAUGCCUGUAGCCAAUUCUGUAAUAAACUAUCUAAAGGUUUAUUAACUAGGAAAAAGGAAUAAGUUAUUUACAGGUUAAAAAAAAGCAAACAUACACGCACAAAUGAGUUACCAUCUGAAAUCUAAGAAUGACAGAAUUGUAGUGAUCUGUCAAUUCAAAAAAAGAAAAGGAGUACUUGUGGCACCUUAGAGACUAACAAAUUUAUUUGAGCAUAAGCUUUCGUGAGCUACAGCUCACUUCGUUGGAUGC